GUUACGCUAAUACCGCAUAUUCUGUGAGCAGGAAAGCAGGGGAUCGCAAGACCUUGCGCUGAUUGAGCGGCCGAUAUCAGAUUAGCUAGUUGGUGAGGUAAAGGCUCACCAAGGCGACGAUCUGUAGCGGGUCUGAGAGGAUGAUCCGCCACACUGGAACUGAGACACGGUCCAGACUCCUACGGGAGGCAGCAGUGGGGGAAUUUUUGGACAAUGGGCGCAAGCCUGAUCCAGCCAUGCCGCGUGAGUGAAGAAGGCCUUCGGGUUGUAAAGCUCUUUCGGCCGGGAAGAAAUCGCACGGGUUAAUACCCUGUGUGGAUGACGGUACCGGAAUAAGAAGCACCGGCUAACUACGUG
rnacentral:rRNA from 1 species